UCAGAUUGAACGCUGGCGGCAUGCCUUACACAUGCAAGUCGAACGGCAGCAUGAUCUAGCUUGCUAGAUUGAUGGCGAGUGGCGAACGGGUGAGUAAUACAUCGGAACGUGCCCUGUAGUGGGGGAUAACUAGUCGAAAGAUUAGCUAAUACCGCAUACGACCUGAGGGUGAAAGUGGGGGACCGCAAGGCCUCAUGCUAUAGGAGCGGCCGAUGUCUGAUUAGCUAGUUGGUGGGGUAAAGGCCCACCAAGGCGACGAUCAGUAGCUGGUCUGAGAGGACGAUCAGCCACACUGGGACUGAGACACGGCCCAGACUCCUACGGGAGGCAGCAGUGGGGAAUUUUGGACAAUGGGCGAAAGCCUGAUCCAGCAAUGCCGCGUGUGUGAAGAAGGCCUUCGGGUUGUAAAGCACUUUUGUCCGGAAAGAAAUGGCUCUGGUUAAUACCUGGGGUCGAUGACGGUACCGGAAGAAUAAGGACCGGCUAACUACGUGCCAGCAGCCGCGGUAAUACGUAGGGUCCAAGCGUUAAUCGGAAUUACUGGGCGUAAAGCGUGCGCAGGCGGUUGUGCAAGACCGAUGUGAAAUCCCCGAGCUUAACUUGGGAAUUGCAUUGGUGACUGCACGGCUAGAGUGUGUCAGAGGGGGGUAGAAUUCCACGUGUAGCAGUGAAAUGCGUAGAGAUGUGGAGGAAUACCGAUGGCGAAGGCAGCCCCCUGGGAUAACACUGACGC
rnacentral:rRNA from 1 species